rnacentral:ncRNA from 1 species
CAAAAGCCUGGUCCUGACUUUAACAUCAGUUCUGGCCUGACUUACACAUGCAAGUACCCGCGUACCCGUGAGAAUGCCCUAUAUCCCCUCUCGGGGAAAAGGAGCCGGCAUCAGGCACGCCCACGUAGCCCAAAACGCCUUGCUCAGCCACACCCACAAGGGAGUUCAGCAGUGAUAGAUAUUAAGCAAUGAGCGAAAGCUUGACUUAGUCAAGGCCAAAUAGAGCCGGUAAAACUCGUGCCAGCCACCGCGGUUAUACGAGGGGCUCAAAUUGAUAUUUCAUCGGCGUAAAGCGUGAUUAAAAAAUAAACAAACUAAAGCCAAACACUUCCCAAGCUGUCAUACGCUACCGGAUAAAACGAAGCCCCACCACGAAAGUGGCUUUAACACCUUUGAACUCACGACAGUUGAGAAACAAACUGGGAUUAGAUACCCCACUAUGCUCAGCCUUAAACAACGAUGACAAAAUACAAAUAUCAUCCGCCAGGGGACUACGAGCGUUAGCUUAAAACCCAAAGGACUUGGCGGUGCCUCAAACCCACCUAGAGGAGCCUGUUCUAUAACCGAUAAUCCACGUUAAACCUCACCAUCUCUUGCCUAAACCGCCUAUAUACCGCCGUCGCCAGCUUGCCUCUUGAGAGAUUAAAAGCAAGCCUAAUGGGUUCUACCCAAAACGUCAGGUCGAGGUGUAGCGAAUGAGAUGGAAUGAAAUGGGCUACAUUUUCUGAUACAGAAAAACACGAAAAGUGCCAUGAAAUAAGCACGACUGAAGGUGGAUUUAGCAGUAAAAAGAAAAUAGAGAGUUCUUUUGAAACCGGCUCUGAGGCGCGUACACACCGCCCGUCACUCUCCUCGAACAAUAAUGAAAACAGUACAUAAAACAAUAAGAACAAAAAGAGGAGGCAAGUCGUAACACGGUAAGUGUACCGGAAGGUGCACUUGGAUAAAUU